rnacentral:rRNA from 1 species
UACGGAGGGUGCAAACGUUGCUCGGAAUCAUUGGGCGUAAAGCGCACGUAGGCGGUCCAGCAAGUCGGGUGUGAAAGCCCUCGGCUUAACCGAGGAAGUGCAUUCGAAACUACUGGGCUUGAGUACUGAAGAGGAUCGCGGAAUUCCCGGUGUAGAGGUGAAAUUCGUAGAUAUCGGGAGGAACACCAGUGGCGAAGGCGGACGAUCUGGGCAGAUACUGACGCUGAUGGUGCGAAAGCGUGGGGAGCAAACAGGG